GGUGUGGUGGCCAAGCGGCAAGGCGUCGGUCUUGUAAACCGAAAACCACGGAUUCGAAUCCCGUCCGCGCCU
rnacentral:tRNA from 1 species